rnacentral:rRNA from 1 species
CAGUAGCCGCGGUAAUACAGAGGGUGCAAGCGUUAAUCGGAAUUACUGGGCGUAAAGCGCGCGUAGGUGGUUUGUUAAGUUGGAUGUGAAAGCCCCGGGCUCAACCUGGGAACUGCAUCCAAAACUGGCAAGCUAGAGUACGGUAGAGGGUGGUAGAAUUUCCUGUGUAGCGGUGAAAUGCGUAGAUAUAGGAAGGAACACCAGUGGCGAAGGCGACCACCUGGACUGAUACUGACACUGAGGUGCGAAAGCGUGGGGAGCAAACAGGAUUAGAUACCCCCGUAGUCCCUGUCUCUUAUAC